rnacentral:misc_RNA from 1 species
GAUGAAGAACGUAGCGAAAUGCGAUAAGCAAUGUGAAUUGCAGAAUUCAGUGAAUCAUCGAAUCUUUGAACGCACAUUGCGCCCGCCAGUAUUCUGGCGGGCAUGCCUGUUCGAGCGUCAUUUCAACCAUCAAGCCUUAGGCUUGUGUUGGAGCUCUGCGACUGUCCGCAGGCCCCUAAAUGCAGUGGCGGGCUCGCUAUCACACCGAGUGCAGUAGUUUUCUUUCUCGCUCAGGGCGUGUAGUGGGUGCUAGCCGUAAAACCCCCUUUUCUCACAAGGUUGACCUCGGAUCAGGUAGGAAUACCCGCUGAACUUAAGCAUAUCAAUAAGCGGAGGA